GCCUGGGUGGCUCAGUCGGUUAAGCGUCUGACUUCGGCUCAGGUCAUGAUCUCACAGUCUGUGGGUUUGAGCCCCGCGUCGGGCU
rnacentral:tRNA from 1 species